rnacentral:rRNA from 1 species
UGGUACCCACAGAAGAAGUCCUGGCUAACUCCGUGCCAGCAGCCGCGGUAAUACGGAGAGGGCUAGCGUUAUUCGGAAUUAUUGGGCGUAAAGAGCGCGUAGGCUGGUUAGUAAGUUAAAAGUGAAAUCCCAAAGCUCAACUUUGGAAUUGCUUUUAAAACUGCUAACCUAGAGAUUGAAAGAGGAUAGAGGAAUUCCUAGUGUAGAGGUGAAAUUCGUAAAUAUUAGGAGGAACACCAGUGGCGAAGGCGUCUAUCUGGUUCAAAUCUGACGCUGAGGCGCGAAGGCGUGGGGAGCAAACAGGAUUAGAUACCCUGGUAGUCCACGCUGUAAACGAUGAGUGCUA